rnacentral:rRNA from 1 species
UACGAGGGGGGCAAGCGUUGUUCGGAAUUAUUGGGCGUAAAGGGCGCGUAGGCGGUGCGGUAAGUCACCUGUGAAAACUCUGGGCUCAACUCAGAGCCUGCAGGCGAAACUGCCGUGCUUGAGUGUGGGAGAGGUGCGUGGAAUUCCCGGUGUAGCGGUGAAAUGCGUAGAUAUCAGGAGGAACACCAAUGGCGAAGGCAGCUCGCUGGGACGUGACUGACGCUGAGACGCGAAAGCGUGGGGAGCAAACAGG